GAUGAACGCUGGCGGCGUGCCUGAUACAUGCAAGUCGAGCGAACAGACGAGGAGCUUGCUCCUCUGACGUUAGCGGCGGACGGGUGAGUAACACGUGGAUAACCUACCUAUAAGACUGGGAUAACUUCGGGAAACCGGAGCUAAUACCGGAUAAUAUAUUGAACCGCAUGGUUCAAUAGUGAAAGACGGUUUUGCUGUCACUUAUAGAUGGAUCCGCGCCGCAUUAGCUAGUUGGUAAGGUAACGGCUUACCAAGGCAACGAUGCGUAGCCGACCUGAGAGGGUGAUCGGCCACACUGGAACUGAGACACGGUCCAGACUCCUACGGGAGGCAGCAGUAGGGAAUCUUCCGCAAUGGGCGAAAGCCUGACGGAGCAACGCCGCGUGAGUGAUGAAGGUCUUCGGAUCGUAAAACUCUGUUAUUAUGGAAGAACAAAUGUGUAAGUAACUAUGCACGUCUUGACGGUACCUAAUCAGAAAGCCACGGCUAACUACGUG
rnacentral:rRNA from 1 species